GGGGUUAUAGCUCAGUUUGGUUAGAGCGCCUGCCUGUCACGCAGGAGGUCGCGAGUUCAAGUCUCGUUGACCCCGCCA
rnacentral:tRNA from 1 species